GGUCUAUUAAUUCAGCUGGUUAGAGUGUGGUACUAAUAAUGCCAAGGCCACAAAUUUGACCCCUGUAUUGACCA
rfam:Sphaerobolus stellatus SS14 unplaced genomic scaffold SPHSTscaffold_51, whole genome shotgun sequence.